rnacentral:rRNA from 1 species
UACGUAGGGGGCAAGCGUUAUCCGGAUUUACUGGGUGUAAAGGGAGCGUAGACGGCUUUGCAAGCCAGAUGUGAAAGCCCGGGGCUCAACCCCGGGACUGCAUUUGGAACUGUAUGGCUGGAGUGUCGGUGAGGCAGGCGGAAUUCCUAGUGUAGCGGUGAAAUGCGUAGAUAUUAGGAGGAACACCAGUGGCGAAGGCGGCCUGCUGGACGAUGACUGACGUUGAGGCUCGAAAGCGUGGGGAGCAAACAGG